AAUAUAACAACAUACAAAACUUGUAUAACCUCGUUGAUAUGGUAUGAGGGUCUCUACCAGGAACCGUAAAAUCCUGAUUACGAAAAAGAAUGUAAUUUUA
rnacentral:ncRNA from 2 species